rnacentral:rRNA from 1 species
UACGUAGGUGGCAAGCGUUUGUCCGGAAUUACUGGGUGUAAAGCGCGUGUAGGCGGGAGGCCAAGUCUGCUGUGAAAUCGCUCGGCUCAACUGGGCGGGGUCGGUGGAACUGGUCACCUGGAGGACGGUAGAGGCGAGUGGAAUUCCCGGUGAGUGGUGAAAAUGCGUAGAGAUCGGGAAGGAACACCAGUGGCGAAGGCGGCUCGC